UACGGAGGGACCCAGCGUUGUUCGGAAUCACUGGGCUUAAAGGGUGCGUAGGCGGCUUAGUAAGUCAGGCGUGAAAGCCUUCGGCUUAACCGAAGAACUGCGUCUGAUACUGCUAGGCUUGAGGGUGGGAGGGGAGAGCGGAAUUCCAGGUGUAGCGGUGAAAUGCGUAGAUAUCUGGGAGAACGCCGGUGGCGAAGGCGGCUCUCUGGUCCACUUCUGACGCUGAGGCACGAAAGCUAGGGGAGCAAACGGG
rnacentral:rRNA from 1 species